rnacentral:misc_RNA from 1 species
CGCGGAAGAUACAAUGCUGAAAAGAAAUAAGUGUGCAUUUCUUAAAGAAUACACUAUAAGGGCCUACAUAAAUUGGUGUAAGUAAUCUUAAUCUCCUUCUAUGCCGGAUAGACAUCAACUCUGACUAGUACCGGUAGCCUUAACUAAUUUAAGGACUGACAACAAAUAAAAUUUCUUAACAGCGCCCAUCUUCAAAAUAGCCACUCAAUCAUGUCAAACUCCUAAACUAAAGCUGCAGCAACUGCAAUGUAAGUCUAAAUUUCUCUCAAAUUUCAAAAAAAUUGAAUCUCACCUUUG